rfam:Salmo salar isolate Sally breed double haploid chromosome ssa13, whole genome shotgun sequence.
UGCAUUCACUACUGUAAGUCACUCUGGAUAAGAGCGUCUGCUAAAUGAUUAAAA